rnacentral:rRNA from 1 species
GCUCAGGACGAACGCUGGCGGCGUGCCUAAUACAUGCAAGUCGAGCGGACAGAUGGGAGCUUGCUCCCUGAUGUUAGCGGCGGACGGGUGAGUAACACGUGGGUAACCUGCCUGUAAGACUGGGAUAACUCCGGGAAACCGGGGCUAAUACCGGAUGCUUGUUUGAACCGCAUGGUUCAAACAUAAAAGGUGGCUUCGGCUACCACUUACAGAUGGACCCGCGGCGCAUUAGCUAGUUGGUGAGGUAAUGGCUCACCAAGGCGACGAUGCGUAGCCGACCUGAGAGGGUGAUCGGCCACACUGGGACUGAGACACGGCCCAGACUCCUACGGGAGGCAGCAGUAGGGAAUCUUCCGCAAUGGACGAAAGUCUGACGGAGCAACGCCGCGUGAGUGAUGAAGGUUUUCGGAUCGUAAAGCUCUGUUGUUAGGGAAGAACAAGUACCGUUCGAAUAGGGCGGUACCUUGACGGUACCUAACCAGAAAGCCACGGCUAACUACGUGCCAGCAGCCGCGGUAAUACGUAGGUGGCAAGCGUUGUCCGGAAUUAUUGGGCGUAAAGGGCUCGCAGGCGGUUUCUUAAGUCUGAUGUGAAAGCCCCCGGCUCAACCGGGGAGGGUCAUUGGAAACUGGGGAACUUGAGUGCAGAAGAGGAGAGUGGAAUUCCACGUGUAGCGGUGAAAUGCGUAGAGAUGUGGAGGAACACCAGUGGCGAAGGCGACUCUCUGGUCUGUAACUGACGCUGAGGAGCGAAAGCGUGGGGAGCGAACAGGAUUAGAUACCCUGGUAGUCCACGCCGUAAACGAUGAGUGCUAAGUGUUAGGGGGUUUCCGCCCCUUAGUGCUGCAGCUAACGCAUUAAGCACUCCGCCUGGGGAGUACGGUCGCAAGACUGAAACUCAAAGGAAUUGACGGGGGCCCGCACAAGCGGUGGAGCAUGUGGUUUAAUUCGAAGCAACGCGAAGAACCUUACCAGGUCUUGACAUCCUCUGACAAUCCUAGAGAUAGGACGUCCCCUUCGGGGGCAGAGUGACAGGUGGUGCAUGGUUGUCGUCAGCUCGUGUCGUGAGAUGUUGGGUUAAGUCCCGCAACGAGCGCAACCCUUGAUCUUAGUUGCCAGCAUUCAGUUGGGCACUCUAAGGUGACUGCCGGUGACAAACCGGAGGAAGGUGGGGAUGACGUCAAAUCAUCAUGCCCCUUAUGACCUGGGCUACACACGUGCUACAAUGGACAGAACAAAGGGCAGCGAAACCGCGAGGUUAAGCCAAUCCCACAAAUCUGUUCUCAGUUCGGAUCGCAGUCUGCAACUCGACUGCGUGAAGCUGGAAUCGCUAGUAAUCGCGGAUCAGCAUGCCGCGGGU